rnacentral:rRNA from 1 species
CUACGGGUUGCUCCAGUGGGGAAUAUUGCACAAUGGGCGCAAGCCUGAUGCAGCCAUGCCGCGUGUAUGAAGAAGGCCUUCGGGUUGUAAAGUACUUUCAGCGGGGAGGAAGGGAGUAAAGUUAAUACCUUUGCUCAUUGACGUUACCCGCAGAAGAAGCACCGGCUAACUCCGUGCCAGCAGCCGCGGUAAUACGGAGGGUGCAAGCGUUAAUCGGAAUUACUGGGCGUAAAGCGCACGCAGGCGGUUUGUUAAGUCAGAUGUGAAAUCCCCGGGCUCAACCUGGGAACUGCAUCUGAUACUGGCAAGCUCGAGUCUCGUAGAGGGGGGUAGAAUUCCAGGUGUAGCGGUGAAAUGCGUAGAGAUCUGGAGGAAUACCGGUGGCGAAGGCGGCCCCCUGGACGAAGACUGACGCUCAGGUGCGAAAGCGUGGGGAGCAAACAGGAUUAGAUACCCUCGUAGUC